AGCGAAUCGCAUUAGCCUUUGUGCUGGCGAUGGUACAUUCAAAUUUCUGCCCUAUCAAUUUGAUGGUAGGAUAGAGGCCUACCAUGGUUUUUACGGGUGACGGAGAAUUAGGGUUCGAUUCCGGAGAGGGAGCCUGAGAGAUGGCUACCACUUCUAAGGAAGGCAGCAGGCGCGCAAAUUACCCAAUCCUGAUACAGGGAGGUAGUGACAAGAAAUAACAAUACAGGUCCCAAUACGGGCCUUGUAAUUGGAAUGAGUACAAUUUAAACCCCUUAAUGAGUAACAAUUGGAGGGCAAGUCUGGUGCCAGCAGCCGCGGUAAUUCCAGCUCCAAUAGCAUAUAUUAAAUUUGUUGCAGUUAAAAAGCUCGUAGUUGGAUCUCGGAACAGGGAAUAACUGGUCUGCCGGUUGGUAUGUACUGUUGUUCCCGUUCUCUACUGAUGGAAACUUAUCUCUACUCUUAAAUGAGCGGAGAGUAGAUCAGUAGAAUGAAUGUUGUUUUCGAACUC
rnacentral:rRNA from 1 species